rnacentral:rRNA from 1 species
UGGGGAAUUUUGGACAAUUGGGCGAAAGCCUGAUCCAGCAAUGCCGCGUGUGUGAAGAAGGCCUUCGGGUUGUAAAGCACUUUUGUCCGGAAAGAAAUCCUUGGCUCUAAUACAGUCGGGGGAUGACGGUACCGGAAGAAUAAGCACCGGCUAACUACGUGCCAGCAGCCGCGGUAAUACGUAGGGUGCAAGCGUUAAUCGGAAUUACUGGGCGUAAAGCGUGCGCAGGCGGUUUGCUAAGACCGAUGUGAAAUCCCCGGGCUCAACCUGGGAACUGCAUUGGUGACUGGCAGGCUAGAGUAUGGCAGAGGGGGGUUAGAAUUCCACGUGUAGCAGUGAAAUGCGUAGAGAUGUGGAGGAAUACCGAUGGCGAAGGCAGCCCCCUGGGCCAAUACUGACGCUCAUGCACGAAAGCGUGGGGAGCAAACAGGAUUAGAUACCCUGGUAGUCCACGCCCUAAACGAUGUCAACUAGUUGUUGGGGAUUCAUUUCCUUAGUAACGUAGCUAACGCGUGAAGUUGACCGCCUGGGGAGUACGGUCGCAAGAUUAAAACUCAAAUGAAUUGAC